rnacentral:lncRNA from 1 species
UCGAGACUCCUUAAAAAUAAAAUAAAUUAAUUCGUUCAACUUUUUCUUUGUCGUAUGCGUAAUUUAUGUAAUAAUUUACGGUGUUAACUCUUCGUUACAGAAUAACAAACAUACCUGAAUUCAUUUUCACUAGUUACUAAUGAGAUAAAUGCUAAUUCAGAAUCAUUAAUUUGUAAUUGAUCAAAAGCUGCAUGCUUUUGAGAGAAUAUCAUUGACCACGAAAU